CCUACGGGUGGCUGCAGUGGGGAAUAUUGGACAAUGGGCGAAAGCCUGAUCCAGCCAUGCCGCGUGUGUGAAGAAUGCCUUCGGGUUGUAAAGCACUUUCAGUGGGGAAGAAAGCCUUGGGGCUAAUACCCUCGAGGAAGGACAUCACCCACAGAAGAAGCACCGGCUAACUCCGUGCCAGCAGCCGCGGUAAUACGGAGGGUGCGAGCGUUAAUCGGAAUUACUGGGCGUAAAGCGCGCGUAGGCGGUCUGAUAAGCCGGUUGUGAAAGCCCCGGGCUCAACCUGGGAACGGCAUCCGGAACUGUCAGGCUAGAGUGCAGGAGAGGAAGGUAGAAUUCCCGGUGUAGCGGUGAAAUGCGUAGAGAUCGGGAGGAAUACCAGUGGCGAAGGCGGCCUUCUGGACUGACACUGACGCUGAGGUGCGAAAGCGUGGGUAGCAAACAGGAUUAGAUACCCCUGUAGUC
rnacentral:rRNA from 1 species